rnacentral:rRNA from 1 species
CGGAGGAAGGUGGGGAUGACGUCAAGUCAUCAUGCCCCUUAUGUCCAGGGCUUCACGCAUGCUACAAUGGCCGGUACAAUGGGCUGCGAUACCGUGAGGUGGAGCGAAUCCCAAAAAGCCGGUCUCAGUUCGGAUCGGGGUCUGCAACUCGACCCCGUGAAGUCGGA